rnacentral:lncRNA from 1 species
GGAGAAAUACAAGUUAAUUUUGAUAUUAUAAAAAUAAUUUGUGAGUUAGUAAAGAAUGUCAAAUACGGCAAAAACAUUUAGUUUUCUUAUUUCACCAGAACAAAACUUACAGCAGCAGUACACUUUCGAGCCAACAGCAAGGACUUUAUUCCUUAUGUACAUACACAUAUAUAGACCCUUAAUAUAAGCUCAUUACUUUGAUCACGCACUAACUAAUUACUGUGACCUAGGCCCUGGACUAAACACAGUCAGCUCCUGCCUGUUGUACUUCAACCUCUGAGCUUCAUCCCUCGACACUUGGAACGAGUUCUGGAUAACGUCCAACGGCAGCCCUCUAAUCACCGAAGCCCUUCCGGCCAGCUGGCUUGUCAUGGCGACGUCGUUUGUCUUGAAUGAUAUCCACUCCAAUCCACGGUUGCUUGCCCUCUUCACCACGGCGAAGCCCUGCGGGACAACGAUCAGCUGACCCUCCCGGAUUUGACCGUCGAACACAUUCUCCCCGUUCUCCGCCACAAUUUGCAUCCUGCCGUUGCCCCUUGUUAUGUAGACUACGCUGUGGGCAUUCAAGUUCCAGUGUGGCGCCAUCAUGGCAUUCUACUUGCACAAGCAAAAUAAUUCGUUUCAAAUCACAAUUAUAAAUUUGUUAUCUCAAAUGACGUGAUAUUUACUGAUUUUUUUUCUCUCACCUGGUAGAGGUUCCCUUUCUCAGCACUAAGCUGAAUGUAUCGAAGGAUAGGAAGGUUGAAUCUGUUGACGGUGGUGACGCGUCCGCCGCGGGGGUUGUACGCGUCAGCACCCGAUGGGUCAUUGAUGUUGUGCUUUAGCUUCAUUGUACAGAUAGUUUCCUCGAUGCCAUUGUCUCCGCUUCCUUGGAAUUCUUGUUCUUGUUCUUGUUCUUGUUCUCUGCCUCUUUGAGGUGACAGUACUCUCAGCUCUUCCUCGACUCUGACAAUAAUCCCCUUCUGCAUCUGUGGCCCCUGCAGUUUACUGAUUAGAUCUGGGUUCGCGUUGAAGGCCUCAGCCAACAGACGCUCGUCAAAGCCGCGGAAGAGAUUGCCACCUCUCCUGCUGCGGUCGCCACCCUCCCCGCCUUGGCUUCCCUGAUAUCUGCUGCCUUGACUUUGACUGUAACCUUGGAGUUGUGGUUGUGGGUUGCCACCAAGGUAGAAUUUCUGGCAACAAGAACAAGGACAACACCAAAUGUAUUGUUACGAUAUUGAAAAUAUUGCUUCAUUAUCUUAUAUAUAACAAAAACGUUUAGGUAUUAAUUACCCUCAAGAACUGAUCAAGCUGGUUAUCAGAAUUGCCAACAUCAACAAGAGCGACCACAACAAGCUCUGAUGGGCCAUCGUUGUAAAUCCAGUUAGCCGAUCCAGUAGGCAAUGCAACCAGAUCACCCUCACGUAUUUGUCUAACUUUUUGGUGUUGAUCUUGGGAUCUACUCUGACUCUCUGACGACCUUUGCUGUGAUUCUUGGUAUGUCUCGGGACAUCCGGGGAAUACAGCACCGUGAAUGCCUCUACCUGUAUUAAUUUCAUUAAUUUCAAACAUGUUAUUUACAAAACAAUUAAUCAAAACAAUUUAACUAAAUGUCGUGUGCGUGCAUGUGCAUGCGUGCAUGCGUGCAUGCUUGCUUGCCUUGAACAACAUAGAAGAGCUCAGGAGUGUUGGUGUAUGAAGGCACAACGAGGCCUCUCUGUUGGAUACGGUGGCGAAACACGGCAACAUUGGCGCAUUGUAACUGCUCGUCGUUCUGGUCCCAGAACUCUGUGACGCCAGCUUCGGACUCUACCCGUUGUUGGGGUUCGAGGGCGUUGAGGUCCUGGAUAUUACACUGGGUUUGGAAGCGUUGCUGCUGUUGCUGUUGCUCCCGAGUUGCGUCUGUUCCCUGCGCUAUCUGAGCAAAGCAGGCGUGGAAGAGAAUUAGAAACCCAAGCCCUAAACAAAGCAAAUAAGUGGAAGCCAUUUUGAAAAGAAAGAAAAAAAUUGCUGUGAUGAAGAGAGUGAACUAGAUUGGGGUGGUAUUUGUAAGAGAAAAUAUUGGGAUCACUGGGUUUUAGCGUGCCUGCAAAUGCCCUGAAUUGCUUCCACAUAAUGAGAUUACUUUGUGUACGUGUUGGUGCUGGACUAACACGAAUGCAUGCAGAGGCAGCCAGGCGCAUGCAAGUUUUGUACAUUUCUGUAUUUUAAUUGCAUGUUACAUGCAUAAGUAACACUACUCAAAUCUUCGACACAUAGAUCGCUUUUGUUUUGGCUGGGAAAGGUAUGUGGCGAUCAUGAUGUGAGAACCCAUAAUUGGCUUUGCCAUCUUGGUGUUUGUUCUUGGUGGCCUGUUUUUAGUGUGUCUCUACUCUCUGCAAUCGAUGAAUCCUACUUGAUGACUUCAUGUCGUGAUGAAUUAAUUGUGGAUUGUGUGUUGAUUCUGGUCUAGGUAUAUUAAUUUUGUAGUAUUCUUCAAUGACACAUCCCGAAAACUUUCAUGGUGCGUUUACUUUUCGGAUUGAGUAAUGGGAAUCUGAAAUCGGAAUGAUUGACAGCGUUUAGUUCGCAAAUAUGAAGCAAGAAUCGGAAUUAGAAUGGUAGGACCCACCACUAUUUGGUAAUGGGGAAUGAGAAAUUGAUUCCCAUGGAGAGGUGAGAAUGAGUCUCCCAUUCCCGGGAUUGAACAUUUUAUCCUCUCCAAAAUUAAAAAUGUUCACUUUAUCCUCUUUUAUAAUUAAUUAAUAUAAUAUAAUAAUGAAUUAAUUAAUAUAUUAUGAUUAAUUAAUAUAUAAAUAUAUUAUUAACUAUAAUUAUUAAAAAUUAUAGUUCUUGAAUAAAUAAUCACAAUAAUUAAUUUAUUGUUAUUGUUAUUUUAAUUAAUUAAUAUACUAUUAUAAUCAUUAUUAAUAUAAUUAAUUUAUAUAUUAUUAUUAAUGAAUUAAUAUAAUAAUAAUUAUUAAUUAAUAAAUUAAUAAUAGUAAUAUAUUAAAAUAUUAUUAACAAUAAUUAUUAAUAAUUAUAAUUUUUGAAUAAAUAUUCACAAUAAUUAAUAUAUUAUUUUAAUUAAGUAAUUAAUAUUAAUAUUAUUAGUUAAUAUAUUUUUAUAAUAAUUGUUAAUAUAGUUAUUAUAAUUAAUUAAUUAAAAAAUUCAAUUAAUUAAUAUAUUAGUUAAUAAUAAUUAUGACAAUAAUCCAUUAAGUAUUUUUUAGUAAUUUGUUACAAUCUAAUUCAUUCUGAUUCCGAUUCCAAGACAAAGUAAACACAGUAAUGGCAAUCUAGCUCAUUUCGAUUUCAAUUCCUACAGUUCAAGUAAACAACUUAUUUUGAUUCUCGUUCUAUAUUCUCAUUCCAGCCCAUUCUCAUUCCCAUUCCUGGUCAUUCCGAUUCCAGCUCAUUCUGAUUCUAGUUUAGUAGACGCAUCAUCAAAUCCAAUGAAGACUAGUAGUACACGUUCUAAAUUUUUUUAUUUUAAAAAAAUAUCUUAAAUAAUGUGGUAUUCAUUAAUUAGUUUGUGAGAUAAUUUAAAUAAUUCACUUUAAUUUUAUAAAAAAAAUUAUCAACCACUUAAUGAACAACACAUUAUUUUAAAAUGAAAUUUGAGAUAUUUAUCAUUAAAGUGACAUUAUAAUUUCCAUAAAUGAAAGAGAUUUGGGUGAAAUAGGCUCAUCAACGCAUUAUAUAUACUAGUGAUAGGUAUGGUUAAAAUUUUUAAUCUAAAUUUGUGGCUUGUCGGAGAUAGGUAAGUUUUAUAAUAGUUAAAUUUAAAUUUAAAAUAAUGGAAUCAUUUAUUAUCUAAAAAAUGAUAAACUUAAAUUAGUUAGUUCCACAAAAAAAAAAUUUCUCGAAAACUUAGAUUAAAUAAAAAGUCCACAUAUUUUUGGGAGUGAGUAAAUAAUCACACACACACAAUUUUUCUAGUUCAGAAUUUUUAAGUGUGGAAAAGUCUAAGAAAUCUUUAAAACCAUACAAUUUUAAAGCUUAAUUUCACAGUACUAUUAAACCUCACAGCUUUAAAGUUUUUAAGGACUUUCUAUAUAUAUAUAUAUAAUCAUGAAAGUUAGCGUAUUAAGCAAAUAUAAGGAAAAAUAAAAUAUUAGGGGAAGGGAAGAAGAGAGAGGAGUAGUAUUAAUGUGAGCCAUACCCAUAAGCAAAAUUAUAAAACUAUUAUAACAAUGUCAUUUUUCUUUGAAAUGUUUAGGCCUAUAUAGAAUCUAGAGGGCACAACUAAACUUUUUGUAAAUAAGGGCCCGUUUGGGAUUGCUUUUGGGAGGCUUAAAAAUGAUUUUGAAAAUCUAAAAGCUAAUUUUAGUGUUUGAUAAUUAAAAAAAAAAGGCAAAAUCACUUUUAUCAAAUUCAAUCCCUCUAAAGCUGAUUUUGAAAAGUAGAGAAAGAGUAGCUUUUUAAUUCUUAUUUUGAGAAUCAAUUUUAUCCUUUAAUACAAUUCCAUAAAUAUCCUUAAAAUCAUUACCUAAACCCAAAAUUAUCCUUAUUCAAAUUGGAAAUAUAAUCAAUAUUAUAAUAAAUUGUUAUUAUAAUUCAUCAAUAUCAAUUUAUUAAUAUCAAUUUGUUGGUCGAAUUAUUAUUAAAUUUGUUUCAUUAUAUUAUAAAUUUAAUUAUCAAUUGUUUUAAGAUAAAAAUAAAAAAUCAAUAUAUAAUAAGUUUUAUUUUUAGUUAAAAUUAUUAUAAUACACAAUUAAAAAUAUUAUAUGUACAUGUUUUUAUAUGUAUAAGUAAAUUUUAUCUUAUAUUAUUUACAUUUUAGUCAUUUGUUUUCUCUUAGCAAUUCAACAGUAAAAUUCACCAAAUGUCCAUAAUUGCUUUCAAAACUCACAGUACUUUUAAAAAUAAAAUUUACCAAACACUUAACUGAUUCUCUUCACAGUUGAUUAUUUUUACAGCACAACUAACAAUAAUUAUUUUAGAAGUUAUAGCAUUUCCAAACUAGCCCUAAGUCAAUUCAAUUUAUAAAUUCUGAUUUACGUUAAGGAUAAUAACAAAAGAAAAAUAAUAUUUUGGCCACUAAUAAAACACUAUCAUGAUGGAAACAAUAGAAUUAUAGACUUAUAGUUUGGUAUGAACCGUGUUGUUAUUUUAUGCGCAACAAUAAUACUGUAACAUAUAUAGUAUCGCAUUUUUUGUCAUGAUGGUGUUUAAAUAUCAAUACUCAUAACAAAAUGGGUGAAUAGGCUUACUUCAUUGGGUUUCUAUUACUAGUUAGAAUUGUGUUCCUCCACAAGCCAAAUUCAAUCACAUAAAGAUUCCUUAUCUAGGCUUAAGGCUUAUGGAGAAUUGGAGAUCAGGCCGUCUAGCUAAUUUAAUUUUUAUAUUCAGCAUAACUAAAAAAUUUUCAUACAUUUUUGUGUUUCACAUCUCAUCCAAAAUUUCAAAUUUCAAGAGAAUGACUUGGAUCCACUUAUUCAUACUUUUAUCCGUGUAUUUUGCAAGCUUGGACUUGGUAUUGAUUUUUAGACGAGACAAAUCUCAAAUUGAAAAUAAAACUAAGUUCACUUCUUAUUUUAACUUAGAUAUACCAUCAAAGUUACUAUAAACUCGAUUUUUUUUAACCUACUUGACUCAUUCAACUUAUGACUCAACUUCUAAAUUUUUAUUAUGAAAAUCGAGAGUAUAGUCGAAUAUUUUCUAUUUAAUUUAACUGCAUAUUUUUGUCGAGGGCAUUAUCUUCUUAGUUACAUUUAUAUAAAGUUGAUGGUAUAUUGUUGGUAUUUUCAAGGGACUUGGACAUUAUUGAAAUUAAACGGAAAAGACGCUUAAAUUAACAAAUAUAAACGGGUCAAUCCGAUUUUGUACAGCCCGGAUUUAGGAUCCAUCUGUUUUUGGGCUAUAACUUCAAUUCAAUCCGUAGCCCCGCUGGACUCAAUUUGCGGUGUCAAAGCAAACGAUUUCAUUUUGGAGUGGGCUCUUCGGCACCCCCAAAAAUUUCUCAUAAAACUCUAUUUCAAUUGAAAUUACUCAAAUAAUUUAAUACAAAUUAAUUUAUUUUUAUUUUCAAAUAAAUAUUUAAUUAAAAAUUUAGAUGAAUUAAUCUUUGAAUAAUUUUUUACACCUAAUCGGUUUCAUAAUUUAUAUUUAUAUUUUAGUUUUUUAAUUGAAAAAAGUUUUUUUGAAAAUAUUAGAAAUUGUAUAAAAUAAAAAUUUAAGAUAAAUUUAAUAUUUUAGCACUUGUAUGUAAUUUUAAAAGAAAUAUUUUUUUUAGGUAAAAUAUUUGAGAAGAUGAUUAAUUUUAAUAUAUAAAUUUUUUUUAUCAAUAAAACUGAAAAUCUUUUUGGGAUGAUAUAUUAAAACGAAAAAGAAAAGGGUGUUAUAAGCAUCUUAGAGGGGUGUUAAAAGCCCCAGUCGAGAUUUUGUUGUGAUAAGGCCACCAGUCUUGUCUGCACCUUCGCUUGGCUUCACUCAAGACUCUCAACUGCUGGAGCUCAAAGCUAGGGUUACGCAAAUGGCCACGUCAGCCACAUUCACAACAACCGGUAUCAUCUCUCAGCUUAAACUAACGCGCCACUCGAUACAGCCACUGUCAAACGUGACGGGAAGAACAAGUAGGAAGCUUGUUGUCAGAACAAGUUCUUUAAAGACACCCAUCAGUGCAAAACAAGCAGAAAAGAACGCAAUGCAGUACAGGAAGCUCGGUGACUCUGAUCUUGUUAUCAGUGAAAUCACUCUUGGGACUGUAAGCAACUUCGCUUUCUUCUAAAUGGGUGUUAUUUAUUUUUUGUAUAUAAACUGUUUUUAGUAAUGGGAUUUUACCUUUUUUUUUUUAAUUUUUAAUGUUUUGGGUGAUGAAUUGUUUGUUAUUUUGUGUAAUGUGGCCAGAAAAUGAAAUGUUGUUCCUAAUUAUGUUGACUGCUCAUAGAAAGUGAUGUUAUAUGAAUGGACAGUAUCCUACUUCAACAGCUUUUUUCGUUUGAUAUGUUAUGUUGCUUAGAUUUUGGUAAACAAAUCUUAGGUCAUUAACAAAGGCGAAUGCGUUUAAUUACCUAGUUAUUUUGACUGCCAUUUUAGAAUUGAAAACUCAAGGCACUUGAAUUAUGCAUCCUUCUAAAAAGUAUUUACACUGAUGUUGUUCUUUUGAACCGCUUUGAAAAUAUUGUAAAUAUUUUAAGCCCUUGUGUCUGGUAUCAUGCUGGAUCCUGAAUUGUGGAACAUUAAGUUGUUUGCAAGUCUCGAGAGUCGUUUGAAAUUUUUUUGAACUACUUGGAAGGGCAUGUGAUUCAGGAAUUCACUGUUGAAAGUUUUAUUACGUUCAUGGGAUAUUAUAAUAUGGAAGGUCAGUAUUCUUCAGUUUGGUCUUAUAUCAUUAUUUUGUACGUGGAGCAUGAUGCCUCUUUCUAUAUUUUGAAGAAUGGAGCAUUGCUAGUAUACCGUCUGCUGUCAAGUUUGAUUGUGUGUGAUUAAGUCUUUCGUAUUUUUCAGAUGACUUUUGGAGAACAAAAUACGGAGAAGGAAUCUCAUGAAAUUCUCAGUUACGCAUUUGAAAACGGCAUCAAUAUUCUUGACUCUUCAGAGGCUGUAAGUUCAGAUACACAUUACCUAUAGAUACAUGCACGUAUGCACUGAUGGACAGGUACCUGCAAACCCUCAGAACCUCAACCCAACCGGCCACUCACCACGAAUAGAAUCUUAAAGUAAAUGAACAAUGUUGUUUUGACUCAUCUCUUUCCUUCAGUUUCAAUUUUCAAAAUCACCUAUAACUUAGUUGUCAACAAUGCAACCGACGUUUUAAUGUCAAAAGCUUCAUUGACUCUUCCUCUGCAAUCCGGAGGAAUUAACCAAAAAAAAAAAAAAAGAAGGAUUGUUUCCUGGCGUUGUCUCUAAAAAUUCUACCUCCUUAGCUGGUUAUGUCUUUAUCAUCUUGAAGAUUUCUAUUCCUGAGUUAUUUAGUAGGAAGAUCCUUUGUUUCAGUGGUCUUGUCUUUACAGCCUUAAAUUCAUAAUGCAAAAUAUUGUAACUUUUGGUUUCAUGAAGAUUAAUAUGUUCCUUGUAACUAGAUGUUGGUAGCUGCAAGUUCUCUUUUCUCUUGAAUUCUCAGUGAGUUUCGAUGAUUCUUUGCAUUUUGUCUUACAGUACCCCAUUCCAAUGAAGAAGGAAACACAAGGAAAAACAGAUCUCUAUAUUGCUAGCUGGCUGAAGUCUCAGCCCCGUGAUAAGGUUCGGGCCUAUUCACUUAAUGCAUCUUUCUUCUAAGCACACGCAUAACAAAGAUUUUGAUCAUCUUGGGUAGCUUCUUUUUCUUUGAUUUUACAAACGGAAUUGAAAUUGUAUAUUUUAAGCCACAUCAUUUACUCAAAUUCGUGGGAUGACGUCAGGCAGCAAUGAAGUCUGAAUUUACAGCUAUUCUCUCAUAAGGGUUUAAUUUAUAAAUUCAAUAAAUUAAAUGUCAGCAUCUGGAUGUGGUAGAAAAUUGAAUUAUGAUUUGCAGCUUACAGCUUGAAGCAAACUUUACAAAAGUUGAUAUAGCAGUUAUGUCAAUUCCUGAAAUCAUUUACCUUAUUGCACCUUCUUUAGAUUGAAUGGUGUUUUUUGUUUCCAAAGUAGUUAAAAUGAGAAUUUUGGACAAAACGGUUGUAAAUUGUAUUUAAAAGUGAUAUUAAAUUCUUGUUGUCAUAUCUAAUCGUGCUGGUAUUUCUUCCUGUUAAUUCUCAUACCAGAUAUCUGAGUAAUGGGUUCAUAUGCAUGUUUGUGAAAAUUCACUGUUUUGAGAAGAUAAUAUGAAGAUAUUAAUCAUGUUUUCUGAAAGCAAGAAUCUGGUUAUCUGAUACUUUCAGAUUAUUGAUAAAUAUGUUUAUCUCAAUUGUGGGUAGGUUAUCAUUGCAACAAAAGUUUCUGGUUAUUCAGAACAAUCAAGUUUUUUGCGUGACAAUGCAAAAGUUUUGCGCGUCGAUGCUGCUAACAUAAAGGAAAGUGUAGAGAAAAGCCUAAAACGCCUGAACACAGAUUACAUUGACUUACUGCAAAUUCACUGGUAUUUUUGCAGUCUCCAUAUUACUAAUUGUCACAGAAUACAAAAUCUUGGAGGUUUUAUUUCUCCAAUCUGGUUGUCCCGUGACAUAUGUCACUAGCGCAUAUCUUAAAAUGAUCCUUAAUUGCUUGUCAAAUUGUGGAUGCAAAACUGUUCCAUUUCUGUAUCACAUGCUGUCUAUUGAAGUCAAUUUAAAUAUUACAUUCACAUUCAAUGUAAUGAAACAUAUUUUUCUCUGAAUACUUUCUCUCCUUGAAGUGAUUGUCACCUGGAUUAGAUGCAAACAUGAUUUUGAAGCUGAUGUGGUGUCCUAAUGGAAUCCUAUUAAGUAAUACUCGUAUAACAUGUUAUGCAGAAAAUUGUUUACGUUUCACAAAACUACAGAGGUAGCUGUCAUUGCAGCUUUUUUGAUAAUGGGUAAUGUAGCCAUUGCUUUCCCAGGUCCACUUUCCUUCUGAACAAAUAGUAGUUUACCUCUUCUCAGGGGGUUUAGGCCUCUCCCUUCCUUACAAAAUCCCCUGCCUGCUGUAUUUCAGAUUUCUGGUAAGACAAUCAGGAGAUCAUAGCUGUUGUACUAGAUGGCAUCUUGCUUUAUAAUGUACUUUUAGUCUUAGCUGAUCAAGUAUUAGAUGUCAAACCUUAAGGAGUGUCAUAAGGUCUACAUUACAGCAGAUGUUUGAACUUUUUUUUUUUUUGGGCUUAGAUUCCUACCAUCUUUAGCACAGAUUCCUUUUGCAAAAUAGUUUGAUUGCCUUACAUACAAAUGCCUUUUGAUGUCUAGUUCUUUUCUUCCUUUUUUUUUUCCUUUCUUUUUUCUUUUUAUCUGGGUGUUGUGUGUGAGCAGUCAAAUAAGCAUGUAAAUCUUUUACAAAAGAAAUCUUGGAGUCAGAUAAUCAAAUAAAGCAUUCUGAAAAGUUCUCUUUCAACUUUCAUUCCAGGCCAGACCGUUAUGUGGCAUUAUUUGGUGAAUACAUGUAUGAUUAUUCAAAAUGGAGGCCAAGCGUGCCAAUUGUAGAACAACUGAGGGCAUUUAAAGAACUUAUUGAUGAAGGGAAGGUAAUGUCUUCUAGAUCAUGUGGACUCUAGCUUCAGGUGUUAACAUAUUGUCUUUUAAGCAUUAAAAAGAAAAGCCGUCUGAUUUUCUGGACAGUACAACUAAACUAUCACUCAUUUAUUAUGAUGUAUUAAACUAUGGCAUGUUAGCUUUUUUGGGUGUCCUUUAGAUUUAUCUUUUGAUGAGAGCAGAUGGUUGAUUGCCUUCAACCUCAAAGGACUUUUAUUUUUGGUAUCUGGAUAUGCAUUUAUAAAUUGAAAAAAAGAAUAAUAAAUUUCAAAAGCUGUGUGUUCCAUUGCAUCUUAAUAAAGUUCUAUUUGUGUUGUAAUGUCAAAGAGAUUCUAAUAUCUAUAACUGAUACCGGAUGCUUUUCAACUUCAUAGGUACGUUACAUUGGUGUUUCCAAUGAGACUUCAUAUGGGGUGAUGGAGUUUGUUCAUGCUGCUGAAGUUGAAGGACUUCCGAAGAUUGUUAGUAUCCAAAAUAGUUACAGUUUGUUGGUUAGAUGUCGUUUUGAAGGUAGUUCCUUUUUAUUCUAUAUCAUUGCAUCAUUAUAAAUGAAAAUUUUAUCAAAUUUCAGGUUUUUAUGUUUCUAAGUACUCAUAAUUUGUGGAUUGCUUUAGACAGAUGCUUAGCUAAAUGGAAGUGUCCAUCUAAUCUCCAUUUUUUCCUUUGUUAAUGUAGAUCUAGCUGUCUGAUGAGUAAUUAUAUUGUUUUUAGAAUUCAAAAGUAGAGUGUUCACUGAACUCUCUAGAACCACUUUGGCCGAAUCAUAAAUAAUUAUACACAAAUAAAAUUCAAGACUUACGUAAUUGUUAUCCUGAAAUAUCAGCUUAAGAAUUAGAAGUUAUCUUUAUCGAAAGCGGUUUGUUGCCUUUGUUGCUUAAUUCAGCAUUAUAAGCCUCUCCUAUUGAUUCUUUGCAGUUGAUCUUGUUGAAGUUUGUCAUCCAAAGAAUUGCAAUAUUGGCUUACUUGCUUAUUCGCCACUGGGUGGUGGAUCAUUGACUGGAAAAUAUUUAGAUAUAAAUUCAGAAGCAGCAAGGAAAGGAAGGUUGAACCUCUUCCCUGCUUACAUGGAAAGAUAUAAUACAUCCCUGGCCAGGGUAUGUUGAUCAUCUAAAUUUAUUUGGUUGUAAUUUAGUUAUAAUAAUCAUGGAAGUUAUGUCUGGAAUUGGCUUACACUAAACACCCCCAUCACUCUAGCCUGAGAAGUGAAGAGCUAGAUUAGGAAUCGUUGCUUCUCAUAUACUUGUAAUUAUCUUCUUUUAGCUUCCAACUGUAUAUCAGUAAUGCCAAGCUAGCCUCUUGUGUUUACUUGGUUCUGAAUUCCAGGAAGCAACAAUAAAAUACAUCGAGAUGGCUAAGAAGCACAGCCUAACUCCAGUUCAACUUGCACUCGGAUUUGUACGAGACCGUCCAUUUAUGACAAGUUCAAUCAUCGGAGCAACCUCUGUCGAGCAAUUAAAAGAAGACAUUGAUGCAUUUUUUACGGCUGAGCGGCCUUUGCCGCAAGAAGUAAUGGCAGAUGUUGAAGAUAUUUUCAAGAGAUGCAGAGAUCCAACUAUCUUUUAAAGAGUAACAAUUUAGACGGUCCCUCACCUUGGUUCUUUUGUCAAUUUUAUUUUCCCAUGUAAAUUACAUCAUUUGUCAUCAAUUAAUGUAUUUAUUUUUUCCAUGAUCUUCAUAUUUUUGCAUCUUAUUCCUAAAAGCGUCCAACAAUGGAAAUAUUUGUAACAUUUGGACAGCAAAUACUUUCGAAUGUCUAUUUGUUUUAAAAAAUAUUUCUCCGCAAUAGGGUUGGAGAAAGUAUGCAGAUCAGAUGGUUUAAAAUCUUUCAAAACUUUAAUUUUUUUUAAAUAUUUAUUAAAUGAUUCUUUUACCCACAUGCCACGUGGCAGAAAUAUAUAUUAAGAAAAAAAGAAAAAGGAAAAUUAUAAAGAGGAAGUUUAGUUAGUUAAAAGAGAGAGUGAAAACGUGGAAGCAAGAGCAGAAGCGCGCCAAUAUCUGAGCACAAAUACAUUUUGAGCUGCAAACACACCGCUUACUUCUCCCUUUCUCUCUCUCUUCACAUUGCGUUCGUUUUCUUCGUCAAGAAAAAUAAUAAUAAUAAUAAUAAUAAUUUCCCUGCAUGCACGCAUGAAUGAUCUUCAUCUGCUUCUUUGAAAUUUUGAAUCAAAUCAAAUUGGUUUGUUAAAGGGAUUAAAAUUAGAUUACAAUUCGUUUUGAUCGAUCUGCUAUUGUAUUUUUCUGGGUAAUGAAAUCUUGAAAUAUUGUUAGUGUUGUUGUUGGGUUUGUUUGUUGUUGUAUUUGAUGAGAGGAGGGAAAAGAAGAAGAAGAAGAAGCAGAAAGAAAUAUCUAUGAAGACAGGGGCAAGGAAGUCGCCGCCACCGCACCACCACCUGAUGCAGUUGUUGUCUUCGGCGGUUUCCUUUCGAGUUUUUCACAUGGAAUGGCAGAUCUUGCUAGUUAUGGAAAAUCUGAGCGUGACAUUGAACAGGUUAGUACUUUACCCUUCUUUUUAUCUUGGUUUUUGGUUUCACUCAAAUUUAAGCAGCUGAAGUGUGGAUUUUUAGGAAAGAUUUGGUCUCUGUGUUUUAGGCAAAGCUGAGGAAAUUUGAAUGCAAAUGGGGUUUUCAAUAUAAUGCGAUGUUGUUACUUGGACUAGUAAUCUUUGGAGCUAAACGGGUACCUAAUGUAAUCAAUCAGGUUACUUAUGGUUGAAUGCUUGGUUGAUGAGUACAAAUCUUGGCAAAAUUCUCGGUCAGUUAGGUUAAUUAAUGAAUGGCAUGAACUAGGAAUGAGUUAAAAAAAACAAGAGGUCUGUUGAAUAAGUAAGGGAUACAUUGAUCAAUUUAAUUUGGUGGUUCAAGCAAGGUGUGUUGCAAAUGAAGCAUCUUGUUUGCAAGAAAUUAAAGACGCCUUAAGGGAGGAAAUUGAGAACAAGAAAUCAUUGUUUGAAAAAAGAAACAAAUUGUAUGUUCAGCUAUCCGUACAAUAUUAACUCGAGAUGAUGCUGGAAACCAAUAACUAGGUCCUGAAAAUUUUAAUAGCAGAAGUAGUUUCCAGACUUUUUAAAGUAGGCAUAAAAAAAAAAAUUAAAAUGUACUGCUGCAUUAGUUAUCAUGUAGUCUGUCAUUAUGUCUACAGGAAUCUUUGUUGUUACCUUUUUAUCUUAGAUUGUGAUAUCUGGUUGCUUGUAUUUGGUUUUUGAUUUUUACUACGCUUCGCUCUUUUGAAGGCACUCAUUGCUUUAAAGAAAGGCACUCAGUUAGUCAAGUACAGCCGGAAAGGAAAACCUAAGUUUCGUGCAUUCAGGCUUUCUUCGGUGAGUUAUUUUCUUUCAAAAUGGGAUGCUUAAUUUCAUUAUAAUUAAUAUCUGUGCAGCAACAUUGGAAAAUGUUUCAUGAAGUCAAUCUUCUGGGCAGGAUAUAGUUCAAUUAUCUUUUUGUCUUUUGACUAAUGUGCAAGUGCAACUCCUCAUACAGCUGUUUUGCAAAGUAGACUCUGUUAGUACCUCAAGUACAUAUUCUCACAAUUUGUCGGGAGAUGAUGCUUCUGUCAAUACCCCCAAGUAUAUAAAUGAUUACACUUUUGGUGGUUUUAACAGGAUGAAACUUCCCUUAUCUGGUUAUCACAUGGAGGAGAAAGGAAUCUGAAGUUAUCUACUGUGUCAAGGAUAAUCCCUGGACAGAGAACUGUGAGUUAAUCUCCUAUUUCUUAAGCUAAUUGAAGAUAUAUUUUCUAGUUCAGUUGACCUCCUUUGUGUACUAAGGUGCCAAUAUUUUUCUUACUGACAUGGUUAGAAAUAACUAAUUCUUUGCUACCUCUAUACAGGCUGUAUUUAAAAGAUAUUUGCGUCCUGAAAAGGAUUACUUGUCAUUUUCACUUGUAUACAGUAACGGUGAAAGAUCCCUCGAUCUGGUGAGUGCUACCAAAAAAAUUCAUCUUACCUUCUGCUUGACGAUAUGCUUAAAUCCAUUGAUAUACCACUUGGUUGUUAAUAUCCACAGAUCUGCAAGGACAAAGCUGAGACAGAGGUUUGGUUUGCAGGCCUUCAGGCAUUAAUUACGAGAUAUUCUAAUAGACGUACCAGGAGUGACAUUUCUGAUGUGAGUUUUCAUUUCAGCAUUAUUUUUUUUUUUUAAACGCGGAUGAGAUAUCAAAUUCUAUAUUUGUUUUGUUUUUAGUUUAUGAAGACAUAAUGUACUUCAUACUAAUUUUAUUUAGUUACUUUUACACCAAAAUAUGGAAAAUCGAUUCCUGCAUGAUUUCAUAAUGGGUGGGGAAAAAAAAAGAAAAGGAAAUGGCAGAGCUACGAUAACUACUGAACAGAGUGUGAACCCCAUAAUAAUAGCUAAAAAUUUAAUUUGACUUAAUCUUUUUGUUGUAUUGGCAGGCUGGGCUCAUUAUUGAUUGCAAAUGAAUCUGCUUAUACUAGAUGCUUUUCCAUCUAUAAACUUGUUUGCUGUUACUGUUUUGCUUGACAAAGAUUCUAGUACAUUGACUAGAUAAUUGAAUUAGAAAAAUGGUUUGUCUAGUAAUCUUACCUGGAAAUCAGGCUCUACCAUUCUAGAUUAGAAGUCCAAAGAUGUUACAAGAGAAAGCUGUGUUUGGAAAUAACCAAACUGCAUAAUUUGCACAAUUUACAUCAUUGCAAUAAUUUGCUCGAUGCAGUAUAGAGUUACUAUCCUGGAUAACUGAACAGUUGAAUUGAUGAAUUUUUUUUUUUUCCCGUAAGCUCAUCAAAUUAGGAUUGAUGAUAUCCUUUUAACCAUUGAUGUUGUGUGCAUUGGUAAUCAUUAAAAAAUGAGGAUUGCAAGUAAUAAUUUUUUGGCCCUGUGUUAUAUGAAAAGUUUUCUAGUCGUGAUAUGUAAUCAAAGUUUUCAUGUUUUUAUUUCAGCUAACUGAUAUCAGUGCACGGCCAUUUGGGGCAACUCUAGAGUUCUCGAAUAAUAUUGCCUACAAUAGGACAUCUGUUGAUUCUCGUGAUUCAUUUUCGACUUUUGCAAGCUCAGAUGUGGCCUCAGAACAUCCAAAUAUGCAACUAAGAACAAGUACUGGAGAUGGUUUCCGCAUUAGUGUUUCAAGCACACCUAGCUGUUCGAGUGGAGGAUCGGGUCCAGAUGACAUAGAAUCAUUAGGUGAUGUUUAUGUAUGGGGUGAGCUUUGGUCAGAUGGGGCUUCUCCUGAGGGGAGUUUUGGCUCAUUGGCUACGAAAGUUGAUGUGCUGCUUCCCAAGCCCUUGGAAUCCAAUGUAGUUCUUGAUGUUCAUCAGAUAGCCUGUGGUGUUCGGCAUGUUGCUCUAGUAACAAGGCAAGGAGAGGUUUUCACCUGGGGAGAGGAAUCUGGAGGGAGACUUGGUCAUGGAAUUGAAAGGGACUUUAGUCGUCCUCAUCUCGUCGACUUCCUGGCAGUCAAUAAUGUAGAUUUCGUUGCAUGUGGUGAGCAUCAUACGUGUGCUGUAUCUACAUCUGGUGAUUUAUUUACUUGGGGUGAUGGUAUCCAUAAUGCUGGUCUUCUAGGUCAUGGCACUGAUGUUAGCCAUUGGAUACCAAAAAGAGUUUCUGGUCCUUUAGAUGGACAUCAGGUUUUAUCUAUUGCAUGUGGGACAUGGCAUACAGCUUUGUCUACUUCAAAUGGAAAAUUGUUUACAUUCGGAGAUGGAUCAUUUGGUGCUCUUGGACAUGGAAAUCGAGAAAGUUUUACAUAUCCAAAAGAAGUUCAAGUAUUGAGUGGACUAAAAACUGUUAAAGUUGCAUGUGGAGUAUGGCACACUGCAGCUAUUGUCGAGACUCAAAACCAGACAAGUGCAAAUAUUCUACCAAGAAAAUUGUUCACCUGGGGUGAUGGUGACAAAUAUCGUUUGGGACAUGGAAACAAGGAUACUUAUCUGCUUCCCAGCUGUGUCUCUUCUCUUUAUGAGUACAACUUCCACCAACUGGCAUGCGGACAUCAUAUGACUGUUGCCCUCACGACAUCAGGUCACGUGUUUAUGAUGGGUGGUGCUGCACAUGGUCAGCUUGGCAACCCUCUUGCCGAUGGCAAGAUUCCUUGCCUGGUACAAGAUAAGUUGGUUGGUGAAUUUGUUGAAGAAAUUUCUUGCGGGGCAUACCAUGUUGCUGUCCUGACUUCAAGAAGCGAAGUACUCACUUGGGGAAAAGGUGCAAAUGGAAGAUUAGGACAUGGGGACAUAGAAGAUAGAAAAACGCCAACGAUGGUUGAAGCACUCAGAGAUAGACAUGUGAAAAAUAUAUCAUGUGGUUCCAAUUUUACUUCCUGCAUAUGCAUCCAUAAGUGGGUCUCUGGAGCAGACCAAUCAGUUUGCUCUGGUUGUCGGCAAGCUUUUGGUUUCACAAGAAAGAGGCACAACUGUUAUCAUUGCGGACUGGUGCACUGCCAUGCUUGUAGCUCCAAAAAAGCACUGAAAGCAGCAUUAGCUCCAACUCCAGGAAAACCACACCGGGUGUGCGAUGCUUGUUAUGCAAAACUUAAAGCUGCUGAGGCUGGUACUGGUCCUAACAUUGGUAGGAAAGUUGCUACUCCUCGACGUUCAACAGAUGGCAGAGAUAGAAUUGAAAGGGGAGAGACAAGAUCUUCAAGGAUUUUGCUGUCCCCAGCUACAGAAGCAGUCAAAUACCUUGAGAUCAGGUCCGGAAAGCCCGGAGCCAGAGCUGAUUCUUCUAUAGUUCGAGCCUCCCAAGUACCAUCACUUACACAUCUAAAGGACGUAGCUUUUCCAAGUUCAUUGAGUGCUUUUAAUUCUGCUUGGUGGCCUGCUACGGCACCGCAGACCCCACCACUACCACCGUCAACGCAACAGUCAUUACCACAGUCCGGUGUCAACUCAAGACCUACUUCACCAUACUCGAGGAGACCAAGCCCUCCACGCAGUGGAUUUUCUAGGACGGUUAUUGAAAGACUCAAGAAAUCAAAUGAAGCGUUAACCCAAGAUGUAGCAAAAUUUCAGAAUCAAGUAAUAAUUAUACACUCAUGCAAAUUUACCUUGCUUGGCUGCAUUCAGCCGUUGAUUUGUCUAUGCAGGAAACCAAAAUCUAGAGUCUUGCUGACUGAUCUAGGCUAAUUGUUUUAAUUUUUUUACUGCCUUCAGAUUAGAAUUUUGAAUAGAAAGUGUGACGCUCAAGAUCUGGAGAUUAAGGAACUGCAAAAAACUGCUCAAGAUGCUGCUUUAUUGGCUGCAGGGGAAUGUUCCAAGUUAAAAGCUGCCAAUGAAGUUGUCCAGUCCAUCUCAAGACAGGUACGCAUUCAAUAUUUCAGUCAACGAAACUAAUGUGGAUGCUUCGUCUGACAGCAAACUUUAUAUUAUGAUGAUGACAAUGGUGGUGGUGAUAAUGGUGGUUAUAGUACCACUUAUGCAUAAUAAAAUAUGUUAAGAACAUGAUCGUGUCAAUGAGCAACUUUCUCUUUCUUUCUAAUUCUUGCUAACAUUUGAACCAGAGACCAAAGUCUCCCAAAUCCGUUAUUAGGCCAUUAGACAUAAUCCAUAGGCAAUGCCAAGAAGUUGCUAUUUGCUAGUUCAUUUGCUCAGAAGAUAUAUGCAUCUUGCUGAUAUUUUAUUACAUGAAUACAUCAACUCUGGAAAAUUAAAUCCUGAUAUUUGCAUUCCUGGUACUAGGAAAAGAAACUAUGCCUAAGCGGAUCACUCUUGAUAUCACCUGGGAAAGGCGAAAAUGAUAUUUUCAUUAUUGAGUAAUUUAUUAAGUGCGAAGUUGCUUCAUAAAUUUUUACAAAGUUGCCGUCUUUUCUUAUUAUUCAGUUGAAAGAGUUGAUACAUCAGUUGCCUCCUGAGUUCCAUGAUAGCGAGAACUUCAGAUCCAUUUUUGCUCAAGCUGAGGCCUGUUUAGAGACUAACGCAGCAUCUGAAAGCUCUUCUUCCUUGCCUGCAAUCAUAGACUCCAACCAACAACCUGCUGAAAGCUCUUCUCACCAGUCUGCCGCUGUAGAUUCUGACCAACAAAAUAAACCUGAAACGAGUUCAUUGGAAAGUGAGCCUUCUAACAUAAUAGACAACAGAACAGAAGAUAGUAAUCCGCAGGAAUCAUCGGUUUUAUGUACAGGAGAGGCUGCACAACCUCAGCCUAGCUCGCAAAAUAACUCCAGACCACCACAAAUACGUGGAGACAAAGAAACCAUUGAACAGUUUGAGCCCGGUGUUUACAUCACUUUUGUUGAACGUCGAGGUGGUGCCAAGAUCUUCAGACGAGUUAGAUUCAGGUACUUAAUUAAAUGGUUUAUUUAGCUGAAAAUCAACAAAUCCAUCUACAGAAACAUGCAUGGAUCAGCAUGCAGCCUAAAACUUUUCAUCGUUUAAAAAAUCUCAUCGUGGAUACUUCACGGGGGGCUAAACCUUGUAUAAAUCUUUUUUCUUUUUUUUUUUAUCACUGCUUGAAUUUGCCCGGAAUCCGGAUGCACUUACUGAAUCACCUGCCUUCUAACGUAUGUGCAGUAAACGAAGGUUUGAUGAGCAUCAGGCGGGAGAAUGGUGGACUAAAAACAAAGAUAGGGUGCUUAAGAGAUACAGUCCACACGCAAGCAGCUCUGUUGCAUCAUCAGAAUCAGCAUCCAGUGCGGCCGUAGCAACUUGUUCAGCGCCCGUGCCUGCACCAUCGCCGUCUGAUCCACCACCAGCACCUCCAGAGGAAACCGAUAAUGCGCCACCACCUUCUUCUUCUUCUUCUUAACCUUAGUUCACAUUGGUUUUAGUCUCUUACCACCAUAUAACGUAGACAGUUCGGUAAGUAGGAUCAAGAAGCCGCUCUCCUUCGGCAUCGUUAAAUGAUUUGUUCAUCAUCAUAGAAACAAAAAUAGCCUUACACAGGAUUAUGCUUCAAAAUGGGGUAGUCCUUGAAUGUUGUUUACGUAUAUUAGUAGUGGCAGAAAAGCUUAAAAUGUAUUUCUUUUUAUUGAUUCAUUUUUUUUUCUUUUUUCAAGUCUUCUUUGUGCUGUAACCUUCUCUACUCAACCAUUCUAGCUGUACAGUAGAUGAAAUGAACUUGUAAGAGCAUUAGUAAUCAACUCGUUAGAAGAACAUUACUUUUUGACAAGGGCAUUCUUUAAUACAUACUUUUUUUUCUAUCUUUAGGCAGUAACUACUACACCCAAAUUUCAAAUAAAAUUAUUAAAUACGCGUAAUGCUUCUAUUGCUACGUGGGGUUCAGUUUGAAAGAAGAAUUUGAAUUUUUCCCAAUAAAACAAAUCAUCGUAUUUACUCAUGAAUAAAACCCAGAAAAAAUAAAAUAAAAGCCAAACAAACUCCCUCAGAACAAUUAGUUAUCAACACCAAAUAAUAUUCAGACAAGGCUGAAACUUAUAUUAUACAUGAGCGUUGUUCAAUCACUGGGAGCAUGAAUCGCACAUCAAAUCGAAACUGAUAAGCUCAAAAAAAAAAAAAAGUUAAAAAAGGGGGAAAAAGAAAGAACGAAAGAAAAAGGUCAGCUUUAGAAGAGAUGGAGCGGGUAGACUCCUUUUAUACCAAAUUAUUAGGGUUCCAAUACCCUAGCCCUCCAACACGCUUUCCUUUUUCUGAUUAAAGAAAAGAAAAGACAAAGGCCCAACAUAAAGGAGGGCCCAAGCUUGCUUCUAGGGUCCAGCCCAUAAGCUCAUGGGCCUAGAAUAACCUUAGAAACGCGGGAAAUUCAAAUAUGUUGGGUCUAAUAAUUCAAAUAUAUUUUGGGUUAAUGUUUGGAUGUGAGUGUUAGGGUGUUUAUUUGUACUAAUUCAGCAAACAUGGGUAAAUUAUUGAAUUUGUAGAACCAAAAAUAAUAAUAAUUGCAUAAUUUGAGUAUAAACUUUUGUUAAUUUCUAAUAAUAAUCAUGAUCGUAAGGUUACGAAAUUUGAGUAUACCCGGUAACUCUGCAACUCUACCAAAUCAAAAACGAAACAAGAGAUUAAUUUCUUUCUAGAAACAAAGGUUACGAAAAGGAAAAGCUCCUUGAAUGAUUUUGUGCUCUAAAUAGACUAACAAUGUAACGUUAAAAUGAAAAAAAAUAAAAUCAUAAAUUAAUCACAAUACUAUGCACAGUAAGAAUUAAUAAUACCUUCGCAUGCACGUUUCAGCAGAUCCUUCGCAUCAGCAUUAUUGUUAAAAUGAUCACGAACAGAAAGGCUAUAGACAAUUAAAAAUAAUAAUAAUAAUAAUAAUAAAAGAUAAUUUAUAGUGAGAGAGAUCAAAGAAUUCUCAGUAAGUCUCAUGAACUCCACUGGAACCCGAUGCAUACCAGAAGAUACGUGCAAGACUGUCAUGUACAACAAAUACUAAACCAGUAUGCUCCGUCCAAAAUGAUUACUUGGGAUUCAUUGGCUCCCCUAUGUGUAUGUAUGCCUACAUGCAAAUCGUUUCUAGUCACCUUAACAUAAACACAAUCUUUUGAAGCAGGUUUUACUUGUAAGGAUUUACAAGCACAAAUGGGUAAUAUUUAAUAAAAUGCACGAAAGACCUGACCAGCUCAAAUAUGGGGAGAAGCCUCUCUAAUCUUGUUUUCAAGUCUGAUCAACAAAGCAGCAAAGUCCAACAAGGGAAAACUUUCCAUGCCUGUGACCAUUCUUUAGAAAAGCUAAAGAGAGAGGCUGAGUGCUGAGGAUAAACAAACUAUUCACCAACUUCUUCUUAUUCUUUUUAAAAAUUUCACUUCUGAGUAUAGGAGAAGAAGAGGGAAACAGAGAGAGUUUACAACAGCUUCAAAAGAGUACACAGAAUAUUCAAACCCCUAACAAAAACAACAUAAUUCGUGAAAUCAGUCAGUCCGUAAUAAACAAGCCCAUGUAAGAUUUCAAUCACAUAAUUCCAGAUGAGCCUAAGAACUGAGUGUUGAUUUCAAUCCCCAAAAAAAAAGAAAAAUUACCUACAGUAUCUUAUUUAUUGCCUUAGACAGAGAAGAUUUCAGGUCCCCAGGAUGUAAAUUUCCAUCUCUGUAGCUUUUGUAGGUCCUGUAUUUCGACAGAGUUUGUGAUUAUUUGUACUAUAUUUCAAAAUACCCUGUCUCUUCCAAAUCCCACAGUGAAUGCUUUAUGAUGAAAAAGGACUAACAUUAGAAUAAUAUAUAACAUUGUGGGAGUGGGAAAGGUAAGUACAUUUAUAUUUGGCAAUGUAAAAUCCAUAGGGACUCACUUUUUGCCACCGUUGGCUUCACUACACUCCACCACAAAUUUAUUGUACCCUGGAAAGAUGAUGUAUUUUAUGUACUCCAGACAAGGAUUUCCUUCAACAAGCUUUGGAGGGCAGUAUGCUUCCUUUAUUUUCACUUUCACUUCAGCCUAUGACAUUGGACCAAUAUAAGAUAAAAAAAAAAAAAGGCAGCAUACUGAGUUAAAAGUAAAACUUAAAGAGGGUUAUUGGUGACGCCCGUCGUGCAAGUUUUCCAUGGACGACACUCAACACGACACCAUUAAAAAAAUAAAAAUAAAAAUAAAAACCUCAGAUUGUUACCAUUAUUGUAAAUUAAGAAGUACGUAAACCUCAGAUUGUUCAAGUAGCUUCCUUGCUCAUAAAUUUUUAAAAAUAAUAUAGAAAAGAAUCUGAUCACCACAUAGAAACUGAGAGUUGGAGGCAAAAAGCAUCUGAUCACCAUAUAGGGAGCAUUAGAUGUGAAGUGUACAAAAGAAUAAAUGUGAAAUCGAGAAGUAAGGCCAAAAAAUAAAUAAAUAAAGGUUAAGGAUAAUAUAGAUGAUGAUGAACUUAUUUAUUUUAAUUUAAAAAAAAAUCUAGCUAAUCGUGCUCCAUUAAUGGUCAACACUGUAUCUGAACAGUCACAGUUUUAUUAUUUAUCUAGGCUUUAUAUUACUUACAAAGAAUUACAUUUCUUUUGAUGUUGAAUUCCUGUUUUAUGUAGAAUUUGGCCACUAAAAAUAGAGAUUGUUCUUCAUAUUUAAAGGAAACUUUCACGUAUUGACGAUCAUUUGAUAAACAUUAUGAUGUUCCCUUCCUAUUUCUUCUAAAUUUUCUCCCUUUCUCCUCUAGCUUUCUGUUUCCUUCCAAUAAUCCUUCUAUCAUUCCCCUCUUUUCUUCCAUUUUAACCCUUUCUUCUCUGCUAUUUCAGAGAAUGUUCCAUGCUACAUCACAUUAACUGUUAUCUUUCCUAGAAGGGCCGGUAUCAGGCGCUGAUGCAAAUGGCCAGCACCCAAGUACAAGGUCAAGAAGCCAUCGCAUAAGUAUCACACCUCAAGGCACCGGCAUUACAAAAAUUUUGAUUUGAAUGGUAUGAAGUUUCACCCUAAAUCCUAUCCGUAUCUAAAAUAAUCAGUAGUAAUUUGCAAGAACAAUACUAGGUAAAGUAAAGCUCAACUUCAACCACACAACCAAGUAAUGUACAUUACAUUCUUCCGGAUGGUUCAAAUGUUGGGGAAAAAUCAGGUUUUUAGAUUUUUAUAAAACCUUUUGAAGAUCGCUCUCAUAUAAUAUAUAAGAAUUUGUAUUCUAGAAAUCGUACCUUGAAAAUCCAAGUUGGCUUUUUCCGCUGAAGUGAUUUAGGCUCCUAGAUCACGAUCCACCGCCACCACUCCUGUUAGAUCACGAUCCGUCACCACCACGCUUGUUAGAUCACGAACUGUCACCAAUGAUCUUCCAGGUUAUGACUCAGGUUCGAUCUGCACUUGACGUGUGGGCGCCUUUAUCACUACCAAAGCAACUAGCACGAGAAAAU